AGUAUUUUACAUCUACAUAUAGAGUAUUGGAAAGAGAAGCAAGAAGCUCAGCAAGAGGGUUUUUUAAAAUUUGCGUAAACCUACUAUACAACCUUGGUUGGUAUUUUGGGCAUAAAUUUAUGUGGGGUGGUAUCUACAUCUUUAUAUCUUCACACCCUCUGACUAACUAACUAAUAAAUCAUAAAUGUGAAAAAAAUUCACCUUCCUUACAAUCUAGCAAACACACGACGUAAAACCUGGUGAAAGAUGUUCAUCCGGUGGUUGUACAAUCAAUAUCAACCAUUGUUGUCAUAUUAACGAUGUGUCAACUCCUCUCGAAGCCCCAUUUUUAGUUUUUUCUCACAUAAUUUUAAAAGGGUCAAUUACAUAUAAGUCUAUUUAGAGACAUUUUCUCCCAUAUAAGUUCACCUAAACAUUUUUACCUAUAGAAGUCCACCCAAUCAUAAAUAGAGUCUUAUAUUAGGUAUUAAAGUUCAACAAAAUUACAGACUGCCAUCCAACCAAAAAAAUUAGAUUUUCUCUCUUAUAUUUACAAAAAUACCACUAAUGUAAAAAGUCAACAAUCACAAAUGGUCUCCGGUUGACCUCCGGGGAGGUCUCCGGCCGACCUCCGGCGAACUUUCCAGCCGACCAUCUGUGAGGAUUCUAGCGACCACAAAAGUUACUACCACUGACAAAAAAAACUACUACCACUGACAACAAAAGAUACUACCGAUAGAAAAAAAAAUUACUGCCACCAGCAAAGAAAGCUACUACCGAUAGCAACAAAAACUACUACCACUAACAACAAAAUAUACUACCGAUAGCAAAAGAGGCUACUGCCACCAACAAAGAAAACUACUACCGAUAGCAACAAAAGCUACUACCGCCAGCAAAAAAAGCUACUACCACUGACAACAAAAAAUACUGUCACCAUCAACAAAAACUACUAUCACAGGCUAUAAAAGCUACUACCAUCGGCUAUAAAAGCUACUAUGGUGAGAUUUCUGACAACCUCCGGUAAGGUCACAAAAGAUAUUAUCACUGGUAACAAAAAAUACUACCGAACAUAACAAAAACUACUACCACCAGCUACAAAAGCUACUAUGCUGAGAUUCCAAUGACCUUCGGCAAGGUCACAAAAGAUAUUGUCACCAGCUAUAAAAGAUACUACCGAGUAUAUGAAAAGUUACUGUCACCAACAAAAAAAGCUACUAUUUCAAGCUAUAAAAGAUACUACCAAGCAAAUGAAAAACUACUACAAGGUAGAACAAAAGCUACUGCCACCACCUAUAAAAGAUACUACCGAACAUAUGAAAAACUACUACCAAGCAGAACAAAAGCUACUGUCACCAACAAAAAAAUCUACUAUCACCAACAAAAAAAUCUACUAUCUACUAUCACCAACUAUAAAAGCUACUACCCCUAGUUACAAAAGUUACUACAAAGAGAUUUCCAAUAACCUCUGACGAAGUCAUAAAAGAUACUGUCGUCAGCAACAAAAACUAUUACCGCAAGUAACAAAAGCUACUACCACCAUCAACAAAAACUACUACCACAAUCAACAAAUUAAAACUAUUACCUCCAAACAAAACCAAUAGCUAAUGUUUUCGGCAACAAAAUCUACUACCAAGCAUAAUGAAAGCUAUUACCAAUGUGUCAAAAAUAGACAAUCACAGUGGGGAAAAUAUACUAUCACAAUGAUGAAAAUGUACUAUCGCAUUGUUCAAAAUAUACUAUCAUACAAUGAGGCCGAAACAUACUUAUGAAUCUCAUUUCAUUCAUCUCCCACAUUAUCAGAACAUGAUUCUGUGCAUGAUUUCUCACACUCACUAUCAAAUUAACAGAAAACAUCAUCCUAAUCUUUGUUUACAUUUUCUAAAAACCAAAGAAACGAAUUGUAGCAAAUUUACACUCAGAAUUUUACCAGAACAGUCACCUCCAGGCGAUAUCUUUGAAGCGGCGUCGUCCAGGACUUGUCAUCGAGUCAGCAGCGGAGUCCAAGCUGUACGGAUCUCGAAUCGCCAGCAGAAGGCGAUCAUAGCCGUCAAGGACCAGACGAGCCACGGGAUGAGCCGGCGAGCCAUCUGGUUUCAGAGAUCCCGUCGAGGUCAAAUCAGAAGUUGUCAUCGAUGGAAUUGGACGUAAUAGACGUCGAGGUCAGGAGCGACGUCGAGGUCGAGGCGUCGUCGUCGAGCCGGCAGCGUCGAGGUCGAGGUCGAGGUCGAGGUCGAGGUCAAGGCGUCGUCGUCGAUCUCGCGACAUCGAGGUCGAGGCGUUGUCGAUCUGGCAACAUUGAGGUCGAGGCGUCGUCGUUGAGCCGGCGGCAUCGAGGUCGAGGUCAAGGCUUUGUCGUCGAUCUGGCGACGUCGAGGUUGAGCCUGCUUCCUCGUCAUCUAUCAAGCGGUGCCAAGCCAUCGUCGUCGAGCUGGUGUUGGCCUGAGACGCCGCCAUGGCCGGAUAUUCGAGACCGGAGAAGAGAGGGUGGAGGAACACGAAGAGAGAGAGAGAGAGAGAGAGAGAGAGAGAGAGAGAGAGAGAGAGAGAGAGAGAGAGAGAGAGAGAGAGAGAGAGAGAGAGAGAGAGAGAGAGAGAUGGAGAGAAGUGAAAAGGACGUGAGAAGAAGAGAGAAAAAUUUAUUUGCAGGGAAAUAGGGUAUUUUAGGAACAUCGUAAAUAUAAAAUGACAGGUUUAGGUUUAAAAGUGGACUUAUAUGGGUAAAAAUAAUAAGGUGGACUUGUGUUACAAAAAAUGUUACGAAAGUGACUUUAGUGAAAUUUUCUAAUUUUAAAACUAAAAAAUGGUCAUUAAACAAAUAUCUUUCUAAUAUUUAAUUGUUUCAUUUCAAGUUAUUGUUACCGAUCAACUUGAUUGUCUGUAAAGAUGUACCAGACAGACAGUGUCUUCUGUUCCAAAGUUCACCCUGCCUCUAAUGCUCAUAAAAUAUUUGAAUUGCUUGCGUACCUAAUGCUAUGGAAACAAUAUCUAGUUUUGACGUUUUGGAUCUGUUAUAGGAGGAGAGCAACCUUGUCAAAAAAGUCAUUAAACAAAUAUCUUUUCAUUGUUUAACUGCUUCCAAUAUCUCACUUGCUUAUGUGCUACCUAAUGCCAUGUAAUGAAAUAGGUAGCUUUGAUGUUUUGGAUAUGUUAUAGGAAGGGAACAGCUAUAUAUGCAGAGUCCUUUCAUGCAAUAUCCAAGAGCCUUCAUGUUGAUUUACUAUUUGCUGAUUGGUCAAUAUCACGUUAAUCAUAUUACUCUUAUCCUAUCACAAUUUCAAUAUACAUGAGAAAAAGCUAAGUAACAUUUGGUCUAGCGGCAUAGUCUUCUUUUAGUAAGCAGGAGGUUGUAAGUUUGACUCACGAAAUACUAAUUGUAGUAUUUAAGUUGUUUACCAGAUCAAAAAUAAAACAUACAUGAGAAAAAAGAAUUGAAAGAAAGCCCCAUGAAAAAUAUGAAAAUUUUUGUUACCUCAUAGCUAGCUAUCAAUUGAUUGGUAUUGUAAGUAAUUCUAUCAACAGAAGUAGAGCAAAAAACGACUCCACGUCGAUGGGGUAUCGCCAUGGAAGCUUCGAAGAAAUGAACAUCCCCGUAUUGUAAGUAGGGUUUGUCUAGUAUCACCUUCAGAAUCCACAUCCACACGCAGCCUCAGAUAAGAGCUUCUUCCGUAAACGUUAAUUAACGCGUUGAUUUUUGUUUACCCACCCAACGCGUUCUCGCCAUAUCUCCUUCCUUAUUAUACACAAUCCCUCUCAGCACACCAUUUCCUUGAUCAUUUCCCACUUUCCCUCUUCCCCUUAUAUAAACCUCUCACUUCUCCUCACCUUUCUCACAUUCCACUCUUCUUUUACCUCUUUCGUUUCAUUCACUAGUUUUCCACAAAGUCUUCUCUCUUAUCUUAGCUUCAGCUUCCAUGUCGGAGAAACAAGCAGGCUUGAAUGGCUCCUACUACGGCCCAUCCAUCCCGCCCAAGAGGGACUCCUACCAAAGCGUCGGCCGCGGCGGAGGUCCCCUCGGCUGCUGCUGCAGCUGCAUCUUCGGCCUCGUCUUCAAGCUCAUCUUCACCGCCAUCGUCUUCAUGGGACUCGCCUUCUUCGUCUUCUGGCUCAUAGUUAAACCUAACCGCGUCAAGUUUCACGUCACCGACGCCACUCUCACCCAAUUCAACUUCUCCUCUGACAGCAACCUCCACUACAACCUCGCCCUCAACCUCACCAUCCGAAACCCUAACAAGAAGCUCGGCAUCUACUACGAUCGCAUCGAGGCCAGAGCCAACUACGAGGGCCAGAGGUUCAGCACGAUCACUCUCACCCCGUUUUACCAAGGACACAAAACCACCAACGUUUUGAACCCUCUGUUUACUGGACAGCAGUUGCUUGUUGGGUCCAAUUUGCAGUCGGAGUAUCAGAAGCAGACCAGUGCUGGGGUAUACGAGAUUGAGAUGAAGCUUUAUCUGAGGAUUAGGUUCAAGUUCGGUCGGAUCAAGACCGGAAAGUUCAAACCCAGAGUUGAAUGUGACUUGAAGGUUCCUUUGAGUACGAAUGGCAAUUCCGCAACUACCUUCGAGACCAAGCGGUGCAAGAUUGAUUACUUUAAAGCCAUCUAGCUGGUCAUCCAUGGCGGCCGAGGAGGAGAUCCUUUCUUGUUGAUACAGUCUUCUUCUUAUCUUUUCGCUUCUGCUUUGUGAUUUUUCAUACCAGACACUAUUCUUUUGUUUCUUUUUUUGGCGUUACGAUUACUGUUACAUAUCAUAUGUACACUGAUUAUGAGUAUAUGAUGAUGACGAUUUAGUGAUCAGAUCUUUGGAUUAUAAAUAAAUGACGAUUUUAGUGGUUAGUGCUUUGCUAUCUCAUGACGCUUGUGAUGUCUGGUUUAUACACCUUUUCAACGUCUCCAUGCUUUUUCUAUGCUUUCAAAGCUAUAAACGUUAAAAGUCUUCGGUAAUUUACAAUUAUUUUUAAAGUCAUUGUCUAUGAGUCAAUGACUACGCGGAGAUUGGGACCAAACUUAAAAUAAAAUAAAAUGACCAAUUCAAUUGAAAGCCGCUACCUAUGCCAAUUACAUAAAAAUCUAUUUGAAGACAUUUUCUCCCAUAUAGGUCCACCUAAAUAUUUUUACCCACAUAAGUCCACCCAAAUCUAAAUACAGUCUUAUAUUAGGUAUUAAAGUUCAACAAAAUUACAAACUGCCAUCCAACCAAAAAAUUAGAAUUUCUCUCUUAUAUUUACAAAAAUGCCAUUAAUGUAAAAAGUCAACAACCACAAAUAGUCUCCGAUUGACCUCCGGCGAGGUCUCCGGCCGACCUCCGACGAACUUUCCGGCCAACCUUCGGUAAACUUUCCGGCCGACCAUCUGUGAGGAUUCUAGCGACCACAAAACCUACUACCACUGACAACAAAAGAUACUACUACCGACAAAGAAAGUUACUACCACUGAUAACAAAAGAUACUACCAAUAGCAAAAAGAACUACUGCCACCAGCAAAAAAAGCUAUUACCGAUAGCAACGAAAGCUACUACCACUAAUAAAGAAAGCUACUACCACUGACAACAAAAUAUACUACCAAUAGCAAAAAAACUACUGCCAUCAGCAAAGAAAGCUACUACCGAUAGCUAAAAAAGCUACUGCCACCAGCAACAAAAGCUACUACCGAUAGCAACAAAAGCUACUACCGCCACCAACAAAAGCUACUACCGCCACCAACAAAAGCUACUACCGCCACCAACAAAAAAACUAUUGUCAGCAACAACAAAAAUACCACCGCCAGCAGCCAGAGGUACUACUGCCACCAACAAAAGAUACUACCACAACCAAUAAAAAAUACUAUCGCCACCAACAAAAACUACUACCACCAGCAACAAAAUCUACUCAUAAGAGAUUGAGAAAAAUACUAGCAUAGAAGUUGAAAACGCUUUGAUUGUAUAUACAAAAUAUUAUUAUCGUGUUGAAAAGAUACUAGUACAGAUAUUAAAAAAAUACUAAAAUUAUGUAACUUUUUACAAUGAUAUAAUUAUGUAUAAAGCUACUUCUGUACUUUAAAAAAGCUACUGUUAUAGUUUAGAAAGUUUACUACAAUAGUUU
rnacentral:lncRNA from 1 species